rnacentral:SRP_RNA from 1 species
GCCGGGUGCAGUGGUGUGCGCCUGUAGUCCCAGCUACUCGGGAGGCUGAGGUGGGAGGAUCGCUCGAGUCCAGGAGUUCUGGGCCACAGUGCGCUAUGCCGAUCGGGUGUCCGCACUAAGUUUGGCAUCAGUAUGGUGACCUUGACCUCCCGGGAGCCGGGGACCACCAGGUUGCCUAAGGAGGGGUGAACCGGCCCAGGUCGGAAACGCAGCAGGUCAAAACUCCCGUGCUGAUCAAGGUGCUCUGUGCCCUAGUGAUGUCUCUGACUCCUCCCUGGCCUUUACUGCGUAUCAUACCA